UACAGAGGGUGCGAGCGUUGUCCGGAAUCAUUGGGCGUAAAGAGCGUGUAGGCGGCUAUUUAAGUCCUGCGUGAAAUCCUGCGGCUCAACCGCAGACGGUCGUGGGAAACUGGAUGGCUAGAGUGCGGGAGAGGAGAGUGGAAUUCCCGGUGUAGCGGUGAAAUGCGCAGAUAUCGGGAAGAACACCCGUGGCGAAGGCGGCUCUCUGGAACGCAACUGACGCUGAGACGCGAAAGCGUGGGGAGCAAACAGG
rnacentral:rRNA from 1 species